CAUUAUAUACCAAAAUAUUCCGUUUUAAUUGUAUUUUAUCAUUAUUAAAUUAGAUAGUCGUUUUAUAAAAUGUGUGUUUGUCAAUCCGCCUGUUUAAACCAAAAUUGUUAUGAAAAUAACUUGUAAGAUGUAACAAAAUUUUACCGUAAUCACUCUAGUAAUCUCUUAAAAAUAUUGCAAACAUUGCAUAAAUUCCGCCAAAUUUUAGUCAGUAACGUCAUAACUAACAAAUAAAUUGUGACGUCUUUUUUGGCGAAAAAGUCAUGUCAAUAGGCAAAAUGGUGGCGGAAAACAAUUAAGGUUCCAUCAUGAAAUCAAAAGGUAAAAUUGACAAAAUGAAAAUGUAUAGAGAAAGGAAAAAACAACAAAAAAGUGAGAGAAAUAAA